rnacentral:lncRNA from 7 species
AGGACGGGAGUCCGUGCCUCUUUCGCCGCACCCGCAAGGGAUCUCGGGGCUCUCUUGCCGCAGGCACCUGAACAGUGACUGGAAAGGCAUACCAGUCUGGAGCAGGCUGAGAGAAGCGCAGGGCUGGAGAGAAGCAACAGGCCGAGAGGACCUAGAAAGAGCUGAAAAAAGCUCUAUGAAAAACAGAAUUGAAAAAAGCUGUGUCGAAAAGGAGAGCUGAAAGAAGCUCUAGAAAGAGAUGGCUGGAAGAGGCCCUAUCCUGCUAAAAGAAGCGCUAGAAUGAGAGAAGUAUUACCGUCCCCAACCGAUUGCCCUUCGCUGGACAAAGCCAAGAGUGAUAUUCGGAGUGACACAGAGUAUAUGGAUCAGGAUCAAGAGGUUCUGCAUAAUAAUGAUUACUUCAAGAACAGAGCUGGUAUGUGCCUAAUCUCUACAAAAGACAACGUUAGUGCACUUCUAUGCUGCACCCUAGCGUGCUGGUGUUCUUUUUGGAGUGAAGCACCAGGAGGAGGGAUGCCUGGUUCUAGGUUUUUGGCAGUGAAAUGUCUGUGUACAAUGUACUGUUUGUGAAUCAACCUACAGAAUAUGCUUAUGCUAAAAUCAAGACAUUCACCUUUUAAUUCCCUGUAGUUUAAAAAGCCUUUUCAUGUACCACAAGAGAUCUCGGCUUCCUCUGCUCUGUACUUUAAUCACUAAGGCCACAGCUUCCCCAUGCUACUGCUUGAGUUGCAAUAGGAAUUCUAUUUGUGAGGCUAGGCCAUGAACUACAAUAGGUAUUAUAAACUGAUUUUUCUUGAAAGGCAGCAGGGGCCUGGAGGCCUGCAGGAAACCACCCUGAAAGACCUCUUCACCCCUCCCUUUCCCCCCCCAGAAUUACAGAGAGAAUUGCUUAUUCCUAUACAAAGUGAACACCCCAUAGGCUGUAGAAUUGUCUCAAUUCAGUGAUUUUUUUACAGCCACCCUGGACUCACUUUGCAUAGGGCAUCAGAGGAAACCUGGCAUUCAAGGAGUGAGGCAACAAAGAAUUAGGGAGGUUACAAAAUCUGAAAUGAAAUGUCACUGUGGAAAAAUGAUCAAACUGUGUACCCAGGGAAGAUAGAUGUAGACUGCCUAAAACAACUGUGAAAUUCUUUACAGGCUUGGAAUUAUCACUGGAUCUGUGUUGCAGUUGUUCUCAUGGUCUGUGGUUUAUAAACCCAUAGCUGCUUUAUCUUGUAGCAGUGUGAAUAUGAUGAUCCGUUGUUUGGGACAUUUGAUACUUGUUUUAGUUAUUUAACUUAGCUUUUUCUCCCAACUG